rnacentral:rRNA from 1 species
UGGGGAAUAUUGCACAAUGGAGGAAACUCUGAUGCAGCGACGCCGCGUGAGGGAAGAAGGUCUUCGGAUUGUAAACCUCUGUCUUCAGGGACGAUAAUGACGGUACCUGAGGAGGAAGCACCGGCUAACUACGUGCCAGCAGCCGCGGUAAAACGUAGGGUGCAAGCGUUGUCCGGAAUUACUGGGUGUAAAGGGAGCGCAGGCGGGAAGGUAAGUUGGAUGUUUAAUCUACGGGCUCAACCCGUAUCAGCAUUCAAAGCUAUUUUUCUUGAGUAGUGCAGAGGUAGGCGGAAUUCCCGGUGUAGCGGUGGAAUGCGUAGAUAUCGGGAGGAACACCAGUGGCGAAGGCGGCCUACUGGGCACUAACUGACGCUGAGGCUCGAAAGCAUGGGUAGCAAACAGGAUUAGAUACCCUGGUAGU